CCCUAUGUCACCUUGGAUUGGCACCAGCAACCCUCAUGUGGAGGAUGGUAGAUUGAUUGAAGAAAAGACACCAGGUGUUUAUCUCAAGGAACCUGUCACGGACACAGAGACAUGAACUGAAUCAAACAUGGAGAUUGCUGCCUUCUCUCGCAGGCUAUCGCUUACGAGGCAAAAGGCCACUUGAGGAAUGACAGGGCCGACAUGACUGACAUUAGCUGCUCUCGCCUCAGCAGACUCCACUCUCCUCUGUGGAAAAACUGCUGACAACUCAUCAGCACAUUGAAAACCACCAAUGAGGACGCUCCGUCCCCUCCUCCUUCGCCUCCCACUCUCCUCCAAAGGCUCCGACCAGGAGUGGUGCUGAAAGACUGAACGGUGGGAGAGAGAAAGGUCGGUGCUCUCAUUUCAGCGCUCCCGUCCAGACCUGUGAAGGCAAGAGUCGUCCGCUGUGCGAAGAUGCAGAUUACACAUCACAGUGAUGCAUGUCUCUGCUGAUGUGUUGGAUGUCUUUACAUGAACCAGAAAAUGUGUUAUCUGAUGGAGAGCUCCCUUAAUUCCAGACCGUCUUCUACUACCAUCCCCGUACAAGCCUCAAGGCCAGGCAUCAAGCAUCUGUCCUCAGAACGUCUCAAAUAUAUAGUGUAUUAGACUUUAUUUUAUCUUCCAGCAAGAGCAAUAUUAGCAUUUGCCUCCUUGUGAGGAACGGCCCAGAUGUUCUGUUGAUUGAAGCUAAGUUUAAAUCACAAACCUGUUUUCUUAAAAGGAGAGCUCACUGCUUUGGCCCGUCCUCUCUUUGUCCCAUGACAUUGAUGUUUUAGCCUUUUAUCUAAAGGUUUUGGAAAGGGGGCUCCUAUAGUUUCUAAUGAAAGACCUAAAGUUGCAUGACUUUGACUUUUUAAACAGAUGUUUGGGACUCCUGCAUGAG